CCCCUCUCAGGGUCGUGCUUGGAGAGUUUCCAGUACUCUACCAGUCUUGGCUACAGGAGGGAGUGUGAAACAGUGGUCUACCCAUUCCGUUCCUAGCUUGGGCAGUGGCUAGAGAAUGGAAGGCAAUCUGCUACAAGU